rnacentral:rRNA from 1 species
UAUGUCAAAACGACUCUCGGCAACGGAUAUCUCGGCUCUCGCAUCGAUGAAGAACGUAGCGAAAUGCGAUACUUGGUGUGAAUUGCAGAAUCCCGUGAACCAUCGAGUCUUUGAACGCAAGUUGCGCCCGAAGCCUUCAGGCCGAGGGCACGCCUGCCUGGGCGUCACA